AAUGUCUUCUUCAAUGGAUUUCAUGGUUUGACUUCAUAACAAUUAUUUUUUUUGUUUUUUUAUAGCACUCCGAAAUCUCUUGUAUACAAAACCGAAUGGACAUUUUUGGCAUCCAAUUACUCCAAAAUAAUACAUGCUGACAAAGACAGACCUCGGUCAUGGACACCUAGCCCCAUCUCUCUGAAGAGGGUCGGAUCAUUAAAGCAACCGCCAAACUUUCAUCAGGCAAAAAAAAAGCGCAGGUGCCUGUGGACCAUGAAGAUUAUGUUUUGGAUAAUACUUAGUGGUAAGAUAAGCUUUAUGUUAUAAAAAUGUCACUUUUUAUUGAUCUGUACUUUUAAUACUUUUAAUAUUCAGCAAAAAUGAAGAGUCAUAAUGUUGUUUACAGCACAUAAGAACAUCUGUACAGCUGGGCAAAUAAGCAAAGUGCAAGUAAACAAAUUGUAAGUCAAGUCAGUACAGUUCAGUGAGCACAUGUGCACUGCAGCCAUCUUGGAUUCUGAGGCAGUGAGAUGGUGAGGAAGCAGGGGAUGCAUGGGCCUACCCACACAACAGCAACACCAUGCUGAUGCCACACACCUAAAACUCAAAGGACAAAAUGUUUUCAGAGAUACAGCCUUAGUUAUUAAGAUAUAGCACAAGUACAAGUGCUAGAUAAAUUUAACCGUUAAACUUCACUUAACAUCACUCUCUCAGCGUCGCUCGGCCAUGAAUCCAAAAGAAAUGCUACCAAUGCCGUGGGGCGAGUGGAGGAUGCCUGCCAUGAUGCUAAGGCACUGCUCUCCCUGUUGCUAAGCAGCUAUUCUCCCAAACACAAGAUAGCUAAUGCUUACUAAUUGGUUUAAACACAGCUGUAAGCUGUAGCUAACGAGACAGUGUUGGCUCUGCUGCAGCCUGGGUUCAGCUCUGUCUGUGAGCGGUCCCGAGCUGAGGUGGGCGAGGCCAUGAACUCACAAGUUGACGUAGACCCAUGUGCUUUUCCUUGUUGUUGGAGGUUGAGGAAGAGUUUCAUGCAUUUGUAGCCAGGUGGUGAAUUGAGAAUACACCUUUAAAAUGUGUGUCUGUAACUUUAAGA
rnacentral:lncRNA from 1 species